CCCUUAGAUGUUCUGGGCUGCACGCGCGCUACACUGAUGCGUUCAAUGAGUUUAUGACCUUGCCCGAAAGGUCUGGGUAAUCUCCAAAUUUCGUCGUGAUGGGGAUAGAUUAUUGCAAUUAUUAAUCUUCAACGAGGAAUGCCUAGUAAGCGCAAGUCAUCAGCUUGCGUUGAUUACGUCCCUGCCCUUUGUACACACCGCCCGUCGCUCCUACCGAUUGAAUGGUCCGGUGAAGCGUUCGGACCGUGGCCUUUGGACGGUUCGCCGUCUGUUGGCUGCGGGAAGUUCGUUAAACCUUAUCAUUUAGAGGAAGGAGAAGUCGUAACA
rnacentral:rRNA from 1 species